rnacentral:rRNA from 1 species
UACGAAGGGGGCUAGCGUUGCUCGGAAUCACUGGGCGUAAAGCGCACGUAGGCGGCUUUCUAAGUCAGGGGUGAAAUCCUGGAGCUCAACUCCAGAACUGCCUUUGAUACUGGAGAGCUUGAGUCCGGGAGAGGUGAGUGGAACUCCGAGUGUAGAGUGAAAUUCGUAGAUAUCGGGAGGAACACCAGUGGCGAAGGCGGCCUUCUGGA